rnacentral:rRNA from 1 species
UGCAGUCCGAGCGGUAGAGAGAAGCUUGCUUCUCUUGAGAGCGGCGGACGGGUGAGUAAUGCCUAGGAGUCUGCCUGGUAGUGGGGGAUAACGUUCGGAAACGGACGCUAAUACCGCAUACGUCCUACGGGAGAAAGCAGGGGACCUUCGGGCCUUGCGCUAUCAGAUGAGCCUAGGUCGGAUUAGCUAGUUGGUGAGGUAAUGGCUCACCAAGGCGACGAUCCGUAACUGGUCUGAGAGGAUGAUCAGUCACACUGGAACUGAGACACGGUCCAGACUCCUACGGGAGGCAGCAGUGGGGAAUAUUGGACAAUGGGCGAAAGCCUGAUCCAGCCAUGCCGCGUGUGUGAAGAAGGUCUUCGGAUUGUAAAGCACUUUAAGUUGGGAGGAAGGGCAGUUACCUAAUACGUGAUUGUUUUGACGUUACCGACAGAAUAAGCACCGGCUAACUCUGUGCCAGCAGCCGCGGUAAUACAGAGGGUGCAAGCGUUAAUCGGAAUUACUGGGCGUAAAGCGCGCGUACGUGGUUAGUUAAGUUGGAUGUGAAAUCCCCGGGCUCAACCUGGGAACUGCAUUCAAAACUGACUGACUAGAGUAUGGUAGAGGGUGGUGGAAUUUCCUGUGUAGCGGUGAAAUGCGUAGAUAUAUGUAAGUAACCCGCGUGGAGAACGAGGGCCACCUGGACCGGUUCGCACACUGAGUUGCGACACCGUGG